ACUCCUACGGGAGGCAGCAGUGGGGAAUAUUGCACAAUGGGCGCAAGCCUGAUGCAGCCAUGCCGCGUGUAUGAAGAAGGCCUUCGGGUUGUAAAGUACUUUCAGCAGUGAGGAAGGUGGGUAUGUUAAGUUAAGCAUGCAUUCAUUUGACGUUAGCUGCAGAAGAAGCACCGGCUAACUCCGUGCCAGCAGCCGCGGUAAUACGGAGGGUGCGAGCGUUAAUCGGAAUUACUGGGCGUAAAGCGCAUGCAGGUGGUUUGUUAAGUCAGAUGUGAAAGCCCGGGGCUCAACCUCGGAAUUGCAUUGAACUUGGACAA
rnacentral:rRNA from 1 species